rnacentral:rRNA from 1 species
CCCUAAAUACUAAUGCACCAGAUCUCAUUAGAAUUCCGAAGUUAAGCAUACUUGGGUGAGAGUAGUACUAAGAUGGGUGACUAAUAAGUCUUCAUUAUC